GUGCCAGCCGCCGCGGUAAGACGAAGGGGGCUAGCGUUGUUCGGAAUUACUGGGCGUAAAGCGCGUGUAGGCGGUUGUCCAAGUUGGAUGUGAAAGCCUUGAGCUUAACUCAAGAAAUGCAUUCAGGACUGGAUGACUAGAGGACCGGAGAGGAUAGUGGAAUUCCCAGUGUAGUGGUGAAAUACGUAGAGAUUGGGAAGAACACCAGUGGCGAAGGCGGCUAUCUGGACGGUUUCUGACGCUAAGACGCGAAAGCGUGGGGAGCAAACAGGAUUAGAAACCCGCGUAGUCC
rnacentral:rRNA from 1 species